GAUAUUCUAGAUAUAAUAUACAGUGAAAAUCACUUAAAAAAUCUAUCACAAGAACAUUGGGACGUAAUUUACAAUUUUUUGAAGUUCAUGCAUGUCAAAAAUCAGCUCGAUUAUUGGUAUAAUCUAUCACAAGUAA